AGAGUUUGCUUCUGGCUCAGGAUGAACGCUAGCGACAGGCUUAACACAUGCAAGUCGAGGGGCAGCGGGGGUGAUGGCUUGCCAUCACCUGCCGGCGACCGGCGCACGGGUGAGUAACACGUAUGCAACCUGCCCGCCACAGGGGGAUAAGCGGAAGAAAUUCCGUCUAAUACCGCGUGACGCGGCGUCGGGGCAUCCCGGUGCCGCCAAAGGGAUUACCGGUGGCGGAUGGGCAUGCGGCGCAUUAGCUAGUCGGCGGGGUAACGGCCCACCGAGGCGACGAUGCGUAGGGGUUCUGAGAGGAAGGUCCCCCACACUGGUACUGAGACACGGACCAGACUCCUACGUGAGGCAGCAGUGAGGAAUAUUGGUCAAUGGGCGGGAGCCUGAACCAGCCAAGUCGCGUGAGGGAUGACGGUCCUACGGAUUGUAAACCUCUUUUGCCGGGGAGCAAGCGUGCGUUCGUGAACGCGCGUCGAGAGUACCCGGAGAAAAAGCAUCGGCUAACUCCGUGCCAGCAGCCGCGGUAAUACGGAGGAUGCGAGCGUUAUCCGGAUUUAUUGGGUUUAAAGGGUGCGUAGGCGGGAUGCCAAGUCAGCGGUAAAAAUGCGGUGCUCAACGCCGUCGAGCCGUUGAAACUGGCGUUCUUGAGUGGGCGAGAAGUAUGCGGAAUGCGUGGUGUAGCGGUGAAAUGCAUAGAUAUCACGCAGAACUCCGAUUGCGAAGGCAGCAUACCGGCGCCCUACUGACGCUGAGGCACGAAAGCGUGGGUAUCGAACAGGAUUAGAUACCCUGGUAGUCCACGCAGUAAACGAUGAAUGCUAACUGUCCGGUGCGAGUGAGCGCUGGGCGGUACAGCGAAAGCGUUAAGCAUUCCACCUGGGGAGUACGCCGGCAACGGUGAAACUCAAAGGAAUUGACGGGGGCCCGCACAAGCGGAGGAACAUGUGGUUUAAUUCGAUGAUACGCGAGGAACCUUACCCGGGCUCAAACGCAGGAUGACGGGUCCCGAAAGGGGCCUUUCUUCGGACAUUCUGCGAGGUGCUGCAUGGUUGUCGUCAGCUCGUGCCGUGAGGUGUCGGCUUAAGUGCCAUAACGAGCGCAACCCCUGUCCACAGUUGCCAGCAGGUAAAGCUGGGGACUCUGUGGAGACUGCCGGCGCAAGCUGCGAGGAAGGCGGGGAUGACGUCAAAUCAGCACGGCCCUUACGUCCGGGGCGACACACGUGUUACAAUGGCAGGUACAGCGGGAUGCCACGGGGCGACCCGGCGCUGAGCCCGAAAACCUGUCUCAGUUCGGAUUGGAGUCUGCAACCCGACUCCAUGAAGCUGGAUUCGCUAGUAAUCGCGCAUCAGCCACGGCGCGGUGAAUACGUAGCCGGGCCUUGCACACACCGCCCGUCA
rnacentral:rRNA from 1 species